GAAAAUGAAAAUAUUUUUCUUCUUGAGGAAUUCGGCGACAAAUCUCCGGUCUGAGGAACACGAAUCUCAUAUAAGGCUCUUUAAUAGUGGAUGAGUCUAUAACCCAAGCCGAAAUCUCACUGCCGAAACUUUCAGGGAGUAAAUGAGGUAUUCAGUCCGUAGAUGGUGCUGUUUAG
rfam:Desulfosporosinus sp. BRH_c37 BRHa_1004355, whole genome shotgun sequence.